GAUUGCAGAUCAGUGUUUAAUGCUAUUCCUGUUUGAGAGGACUGUGGCUGCUGCUUAGUGUUUGCCGAGUGGGACUCGACACCCGGUGCACGUUGGCUACUCGACCACCUCCAACCAUCGUCAACCACCACCACCACCACCACCAGCACCACCACCUCAGCAACAGUAACAGGAACGACCAUCGGGUCCUCUGGUGGGGGUUGGAGCCUGCACUCUGGUCCGGAUGUCGGCUGUCAGUGAAGGUGAUAAGGUACGGGUACUGUCGAUGACGAUAUCACCGACCGCCUGCAUUGUCGGCGCGUCUCUAAACACCACGUGUCACGUCACUUCCACCACCUUGAAAAGUCUCCUCAAUGUCAAGGAGGAUCUUUUGUUUGAUCUCUCCAUUUUUCACCUCCCGAUUAUAGAUAUAUAAUAUUUAUUCCAUCGUACCAUCCGCAUUGCACACGCUCGCUCAUUGUACUUUUCACAUUAUUGUCCAUCUGACUGAAGAAUUUUCUUUGUCGAACCCACCCAUUGUCAGACUUUUCUUACUUCACUUGUAUACACACACUGAGUAUUUUGCCACAUUGCUUACGCGAGUAUCGUACACGAUCAUCGUUUAUCGGGAUUCAUGAACGGAUUUAUCUUCAUUCUUCGUGUAAAUCGCAUUCCUCACCGACAGUACCUCGAUCUUGUUACGACUUCGCUCACGAAACGAAAAGACCGAAGACCCGAAUGCACGAAAUGUAACCGGAUGCAGGAAAAGCCGAAUCCUGGACCGACCCGAAUAAGAGCGGCAAACACGAAUACGAACGCGAAUACGAAGACGAAGAAUAAUAAGGUGCGCGCCUCCGGAGAAAUACAGGAAAUAUUUUCGGCGCCGUAUCCAACGACCUCCGAUCAACGACGACCCGUUCAACACCAACGGAAGACACUACGAGGACUGACUCUGCCAUUGGGCUUAUUUGGUCAAUCGCUCUGAGAUAAUUGCCUUGAUUAUUUUUCUUACCAAUCAACGGGAAUCAACCUAUUCGAUCGAUAUUACCUUGGGAAAUAAUCUUCGGAGAAUUGUCGACAGAUACAGCGAAUGAAAAGAUGACGAAAAAGAAGCGACUAAUGAAACAGUGAGAACUGUCUCUCGAACCCCGCAUUAACGUUAUUACAUAUUCACGGUUAUACACAGAGCCGUUCGACAAGUUCGCAUAAAUUCUGAGAUAAGGAUACCUUGGAGCGAGUGACUUUAAUAAUCGCAAAUGUGUUAUGAUACGACUCGACGAAACGAUGCACGUUGUAAAAAGAAAAGCGUAAAAUAACAAUAACAGUAAUACCGAAAGAAAAGAAAACGAAGUAAAAACAAAUGUGAAAAUAAAUGUUAAAUAAGUAUCAGUUGUAAAUCAUUCGAUAAAUCUGUUGAAAUAACCGGGACUGCUAAAAACGCUGCACUAAAUCAUAGCCCGAAAGUCUUUGGGAAGUGACUGGAGAGAGUGUGACUUAAAGUGGCUUAAGUCGGUGACUUAUCGAGCGGGAAGCCGUCGUUUUGCCGUGCGGCGUGUCGAGAGAAUACUGGUUCGAAGAAGAAGGAGAAGAAGAAGAAGAAGCAGCCCGCACGUUACACCUAGUAAUACGGCAAAUUAUUACAUCGAUAAUAAAUGCAAGGCUGAUGUCCGCCGCGCUCCCGGAAGGUUCGCGAUCUUCCCUCUCAUCUCUCUAUCUCUCUCCCGCUCACUCACUCUCCGCAGGGUUCCUUCAAGAUCGGAAUGGAAUUGCAGCUCAGGAUGAAAAUAUGAGGUAAGGACAGUUUAUCGUAAUUCGACUCGGUGAAUCGAUACGUAGGGACGUUGGGGUGGAGCGUUAUCUUGAGGAUGGAUGAAAUGGUAAACGGAGCACCGCAAGGGUAACUACUACAGGGAACACCUGGUCCGUCAAGAAUGCCGAGCGAGCAGCAACCGCGGAUAUAGAAGCCUUGUAAACUCGGACGACAUCGCAGAACAUCCCGAGAGGUGGAAAUACUUGAGCCGAAUCAAAGCUCUGUCAAAUAAUUGAACUACAUUCUGGGACAGUUUGAUAUCCAUACCCUGCAAGGCCCUAGAGGCAUCGUUACGAAAGCUGUACAACGUCCUUGUGGAAUAAAUCUUAUUCUCAUCU
rnacentral:lncRNA from 1 species